AUUGAACGCUGGCGGCAGGCCUAACACAUGCAAGUCGAAUGGUAACAGGAAACAGCUUGCUGUUUCGCUGACGAGUGGCGGACGGGUGAGUAAUGUCUGGGAAACUGCCUGAUGGAGGGGGAUAACUACUGGAAACGGUAGCUAAUACCGCAUAACGUCGCAAGACCAAAGAGGGGGACCUUCGGGCCUCUUGCCAUCAGAUGUGCCCAGAUGGGAUUAGCUAGUAGGUGGGGUAACGGCUCACCUAGGCGACGAUCCCUAGCUGGUCUGAGAGGAUGACCAGCCACACUGGAACUGAGACACGGUCCAGACUCCUACGGGAGGUAGCAGUGGGGAAUAUUGCACAAUGGGCGCAAGCCUGAUGCAGCCAUGCCGCGUGUAUGAAGAAGGCCUUCGGGUUGUAAAGUACUUUCAGCGGGGAGGAAGGGAGUAAAGUUAAUACCUUUGCUCAUUGACGUUACCCGCAGAAGAAGCACCGGCUAACUCCGUG
rnacentral:rRNA from 1 species